CAUUAUGCUCAGCCGUAAACUUUGAUAGCCUACUACACCCGCUAUCCGCCCGGGUACUACGAGCACCAGCUUAAAACCCAAAGGACUUGGCGGUGCUUAACAUCCAUCUAGAGGAGCCUGUCCAAUAACCGAUAAUCCCCGUUUAACCUCACCCUCCCUUGUCUUUCCCGCCUAUAUACCGCCGUCGUCAGCUCACCCUUUGAGGGAACCAUAGUAAGCAAAAUUGGCACAGCCCAGUACGUCAGGUCGAGGUGUAGCUAAUGAGAGGGGAUGAGAUGGGCUACAUUUCCUAAACAAGGAAAUACGAAUAAUGAUUCUGAAACGAACAUUAGAAGGAGGAUUUAGUAGUAAGUAGAAAACAGAGUGUUCUACUGAAUCGGCCACUUAAGCGCGCACACACCGCCCGUCACUCUCCCCAAGCUAAACAAAAAUUCAUUCCUAAAACCCCCACCUGCGAUAGGGGAGGCAAGUCGUAA
rnacentral:rRNA from 1 species